AGCUUUGCUCAGUGGCAGUAUCAUAGCCAAUGAGGCUUAUCCGAGGCACGAUUAUUGCUAAUGGAAAACUUUUCCCAAUUCAG
rnacentral:snRNA from 1 species